GCAUUGCGCAGAAAAGGCAUCACACUUCGGUGUGAUGCCAGUGCUCGCAGUGACCCUGCCGUAGAAGGGUAGUGCAUACCGUAGAGGGUUAGAGGGUUCUUCGCAGGCAUUGCGCAGAAAAGGCAUCACACUUCGGUGUGAUGCCAGUGCUCGCAAUGACUGCCGUAUACCAUAGAAUGAGGUACUUCGCAAGCAUUGCGCAGAAAAGGCAUCACGCUUUGGCGAUGCCAGUGCUCGCAAUGACUCUGCCGUUUUGUUAGGCAGGUAUCGGUACGCGAAAAGGCUCGACCGUUACUUUGAGGGGCACAGCUGCGCUGCUUCGAACAGCGUCAGUACCACUGCUUACGUACCGUAGGGCACCGUUACUAAAAACUAACGUGACCAACAGGCGACACGUAACUGGCGGACAGUUAAGAGUUGAUAGCUGGAGGUCAACGAAGACGGUUGGCGAAUAAUAAGAUCUCUCCUACACAGAGGAGCCCGUUUUCAUCACCGCCGUGCCGACUUCAUCAAACGUCAACGCCGGGCACGCUUAGUUUCACCCGUUUUCAUCACCGCCGUGCCGACUUCAUCAAACGUCAACGCCGGGCACGCUUAUUUCACCCGUUUUCAUCACCGCCGUGCCGACUUCAUCACCACCGUGCCGACUUCAUCAAACGUCAACGCCGGGCACGCUUAGUUUCACCCGUUUUCAUCACCGCCGUGCCGACUUCAUCAAGCGUCAACGCCGGGCACGCUUAGUUUCACCCGUUUUCAUCACCGCCGUGCCGCCUUCAUCAAACGUCAACGCCGGGCACGCU